rnacentral:rRNA from 1 species
UUGCUCUUCAACGAGGAAUGCCUAGUAAGCGCAUGUCAUCAGCAUGCGUUGAUUACGUCCCUGCCCUUUGUACACACCGCCCGUCGCUACUACCGAUUGAAUGGCUCAGUGAGGCCUCCGGACUGGCUUGAGGAGGUUGGCAACGACCACCUUGAGCCGGAAAGUUCGUCAAACUCGGUCAUUUAGAGGAAGUAAAAGUCGUAACAAGGUUUCCGUAGGUGAACCUGCGGAAGGAUCAUUACCGAGAGUUGUAGGCUUCUGUCUACCAUCUCUUACCCAUGUCUUUUGCGUACUUAACGUUUCCUCGGCAGGUCCGCCUGCCGUAGGACAAUUAUAAACCAUUUGCAGUUGCAGUCAGCGUCUGAAAAACAUAAUAAUUACAACUUUUAACAACGGAUCUCUUGGUUCUGGCAUCGAUGAAGAACGCAGCGAAAUGCGAUAAGUAGUGUGAAUUGCAGAAUUCAGUGAAUCAUCGAAUCUUUGAACGCACAUUGCGCCCCUUGGUAUUCCAUGGGGCAUGCCUGUUCGAGCGUCAUUUGUACCUUCAAGCUCUGCUUGGUGUUGGGUGUUUGUCCCGCCUUUGUGCGCGGACUCGCCUUAAAGCAAUUGGCAGCCGGCGUAUAGAUUUCGGAGCGCAGCACAAUCCGCGCUUUGUACUCAUUACGACGACAUCCAUCAAGACAUUUUUUAACUCUUGACCUCGGAUCAGGUAGGGAUACCCGCUGAACUUAAGCAUGUCAAUAAGCGGAGGA